rnacentral:rRNA from 1 species
AGCGGCGGACGGGUGAGUAACACGUGGGCAACCUGCCUGUAAGAUCGGAAUAACUCCGGGAAACCGGAGCUAAUGCCGGGUAAUACAUUUCUCCGCAUGGAGAGAUGUUAAAAGAUGGCUUCUUGCUAUCACUUACAGAUGGGCCCGCGGCGCAUUAGCUAGUUGGUGAGGUAACGGCUCACCAAGGCGACGAUGCGUAGCCGACCUGAGAGGGUGAUCGGCCACACUGGGACUGAGACACGGCCCAGACUCCUACGGGAGGCAGCAGUAGGGAAUCUUCCGCAAUGGACGAAAGUCUGACGGAGCAACGCCGCGUGAACGAUGAAGGUCUUCGGAUCGUAAAGUUCUGUUGUUAGGGAAGAACAAGUACCGUGCGAAUAGAGCGGUACCUUGACGGUACCUAACGAGGAAGCCCCGGCUAACUACGUGCCAGCAGCCGCGGUAAUACGUAGGGGGCAAGCGUUGUCCGGAAUUAUUGGGCGUAAAGCGCUCGCAGGCGGUUCCUUAAGUCUGAUGUGAAAGCCCACGGCUCAACCGUGGAGGGUCAUUGGAAACUGGGGAACUUGAGGACAGAAGAGGAGAGUGGAAUUCCACGUGUAGCGGUGAAAUGCGUAGAUAUGUGGAGGAACACCAGUGGCGAAGGCGACUCUCUGGUCUGUUUCUGACGCUGAGGAGCGAAAGCGUGGGUAGCAAACAGGAUUAGAUACCCUGGUAGUCCACGCCGUAAACGAUGAGUGCUAGGUGUUAGGGGGCUUCCACCCCUUAGUGCUGAAGUUAACGCAUUAAGCA